rnacentral:lncRNA from 1 species
GCUAUUAAUUGUAGGGGUUUUAGUUUUUCUUUUAAGAGGUUUAUAACCUCCCUAAUUAAAAAGUUUCUAACAUUUCUACUUAACUUCAUAUUUUCUAAAAUUUUUUCUCUUUUCUCCCUUUUUUUCUAAAACCUAAGCGGGACUUUUAUUUUUCUCAAAACCUCUUGUUGCCAAUUUGAUCAGACCCCUUUUUCCCUUUUUCUUAAAAUGUAAGCGGGAUUUUAAUUUUUCACUAAACCCUUGCUCCCAACUUUCAUGAUACCCGCUCCAAAAUAUCUCUUCCUAUUUUCCCCCAAAUCUCAACCCUUAAUUUUCACUUAAGUUUCGUCCAGAUCUUUCGUCCAGUGCUUUCGUUCCAUUGUACUCGUCGGCUAGGUUGAGCAAAGUGUGGUCGCCCGCCAGUUCAGCAAAGUGUGGUCGUCGUGCACAACCCAACUCGCGGCCAGGUUUAAUUCUUCAACCUGGUAUUUUUCCCGAACCCUUUUCUAAACCUCUUAUGCCCCGACAUCAAUGUUGUACUAGAAGGUUCUUGCUUUGAAUUUAUAUACAUCCCUUUUGAUAUUAAAUUACUGUUGAUAAUUGUGUGGUUUGUAACUAAGAAAUUAUGGAAAACGUGGUUUGUCUGAUUAUAUUUGCCAUUGUGUUGGUCUGUUAUGUAUGUAUUAAUAUUAAAAACCAGAACUAGAGUAAAAGUCUCUUUUAUGUAGUCAACUCAUAUUAUGAAAGUAGAAGUCUUUUGUGCAUUGUUGUUACUGGAUCUGUGCGUGCUUAAUGAAUUUUGGAAAGUUCCUUUUGGACAAGUUGUAAUAUAUUAGGUUUAAUAAUUAGACAAAUGAGUUAAGUAAAGAUUGAACAGGUUGCAUGUUAAAACUGGUACAAGAUAUGAGUUAAGUCUAUUGCCUAGAGUUUGAACAGAAUGUGUUUUUAGUCUAAUAGAAACAGCCUUAGCAUCAUAGACAUUCCUGGAGCAUGAUGUAUAUUUGUAUGUGUGAUGCUUUUGCUGCACUGAAAUUUUGGUACUUGGUUGUUUAUUGGUGCUGUGUUAUAUUUUUUUAAAAGAAAAAGAAAUUAGAGGUUUGAUGUCAGAUUAUAGGACUUAAGUAUAUGGGUUGAUCAUUGUAGUAGUUGCUGGUUUUGAGUGUGAUGCAAUUAUACUCUGUUUUGUGUACUCUGUUGAGUCUGUUUGAGGGGUAUAGCUUGGAUAUCAUGAUUUUAUGGUCUGUAUGCAUACUGUUAAAGUUUAAAUACUGUUAAGGUAUUCAUAUCUCCUUAGAGAAAAAAUGUCUCCACUAACUCAUAUGACUAAAGCAUUGUGCUAACAAAAUAUAUUAAACUGAAAUCAUUAAAAUACUAAUUCAACUUACGAAUUUCAACAUUAAAAGCAUAUGUAAGGAUAAGAUCAUAUUAUAAAAAAAAGGUUAUUUAUAUAUAGCUGUUGUUAAUCAACAUUAUAUGUUCAAUCUCAUGUACAAAAUAACUUUAACAAUCACCAAAGUAAUCAAACACUAACAACUUCAAGCCCUCAUGAUGUGUUAUAAAUAUCUUAUAUUAAUUUUAUCUUCCCGAAUUUGGUUAAAGUUAAAAUUAUUUUAUUUGCAUAGAAACCUUUUAUAUAUAUAUAUAUAUAAUAUUGUUUUCCUUAUUUUUUAAUUUUCUGUUAUGAAUGUUGAUUUCAGUGGUUUUUAAUUGUGAAUUAUUAGUUUAGUGCAUGAUAAGAGUUUCAGUUUGAUAAAUGAUUAAUUCAUGGAAAACCGCAAUUCCUAAUAAAGACGGCAUAAAUUAAACAAAUAUUAAAUAAUUUAUGGAUCUUAAUUUGGUCGUUUUAAUUGGUUUUUAAUUAUAUUAAUGAAGAAUAAGAAACUAAUCUAUGGAUUUACAAGAUGCAGUUGUUGAGCAAAUAAUGUCACCAAGAUAAGAAUAUAGUUGACUCUAUCUUUAAGAACAUAAGAAACAAACAUAUUAAGGAUUAAAUAUUUCAUCUUUUAAAAUGUUUUUCAUCAAACAAACUCCCUUAUCUGUUUACAGUAUCAAUCAAACUCCCUUUACCUACAAUUCAAAAUAUGGGAAUCUAUCUUUCUUUUAUAACUGUACCAUAGAAUCAUUGUUUUUUAUUGUAUAUUGAUUUGCUAUUUGAAAAUUUUGUGAUUUCACUUGGCUUAUGAUUAUAAAUUGUAAGGUUUGAAUGCUUGUGUUGUUGUACCCUGAUAUAAUAAGGUAUGUUGUUCAUUUAAUUCCAGCCAUAUAAUUUUAUAUUCCUGUUAGGUGCUUUGAGUACGGUGGUGAUUGUAUUGGUUAUUGCAUGGGUAUUGAAACUGGGUUAUUGAAAAAAUAUAAUGGAAUAAUGAGGAAAAGUUGGUGUUUUAGUUCAUAUAAAAUUAGUUUUCUUAUAUGGUUUUAAAAGAAAAGUAAUCCCUAGGCAUGAAUAAGUCUUGGAGCAUUGGCAUAUUUAUCUUGGUCAAAAUGAUUGAAUCCAUAAUUUGUUGAAACUAACGCAUAAAUAGGUAGUGCAAUGUUUAUGGAUUUUUUUAAAUAUAUAAUUGGUUAUUUAGUUUUUUAAAUUCUGGAAAACUGUGCAUGAUAUAAAAGAAAAAUUGAAAUUUAAAUAUCUUUUUUUAAGUAAUAAACUAGCUUUUUAUAACUUGAAAAAUCUGUAUCUCUUUAAUAUUUUGAUUAUUUUGGGAUAUGAGUUUUUACCCUCUAAACCUAUUACUCUAAAGCUUACCAUCAAUUAUCAAUUACAAGUAAUGCAAUAUAAGCUUAUAGUUUCAGCUUUUCUCCUAAACCACUUUGUAGGUAGUUCACAGAUUCAAACGUGCUUAUUAAUAAGCUGGUGUUAUAACUAAACUUGGGAGGCAUUGUGUUAUUACUAGUUGUUCUACUAUUUGACUGCCAUCAAACUUUGGAAUCUCACAGUUCUCAAGGUUAGUAAAUUUAAUUUCAUUUGGAAGCAUUUUAUUCAUUAAUUCAAUAUUUGUUUGUAUAUUCCAUGAAUAUUGUUAUCUUUUUGAUGUGGUAGUGUAUUUCAUUUUGUUUAGGAAUAAUUUUGAAUGGAUAAAUCUUGGCAACAAAAGUACAACAAUUUAAAAUUAGUGGCAACAAAAGUACAACAGUUUAGAAUCAGCGUUUAAAGCAUACAUGAUAACGAAGGAAGGAAAGAUUCCUCAUGAAUUUACCUCAUUCUUUGAUUCUCAACUUCAAGUAAGUUACUGAUAUAGUUGAAGCAUUAUGCCUUAUAUACUUUAAUUAUAAGCAUUCCUUACUAUUAAUAUUUUUGUUUUAUCAUUUCAGGAAGGUGGUGAUGCAAAUGAGCUCAAGUCUUCUUUGGGUGGUACAAUAGGAUCNNNNN